rnacentral:rRNA from 1 species
GCAGUGGGGAAUCUUGCGCAAUGGACGAAAGUCUGACGCAGCAACGCCGCGUGAGGGACGAAGGCUUUCUGAGUUGUAAACCUCUUUCGACAGGAACGAUAAUGACGGUACCUGUAGAAGAAGCACCGGCCAACUAUGUGCCAGCAGCCGCGGUGAUACAUAGGGUGCAAGCGUUAUUCGGAUUUAUUGGGCGUAAAGAGCUCGUAGGCGGUUCGAUUAGUCGGGUGUUAAACCCCCAGGCUCAACCUGGGGCAGCCAUCCGAAACUGUCGUGACUAGAGUUUGGUAGGGGAUCACGGAAUUCCUGGUGUAGCGGUGGAAUGCGCAGAUAUCAGGAGGAACACCAGCAGCGAAGGCGGUGAUCUGGGCCAAUACUGACGCUGAGGAGCGAAAGCGUGGGGAGCGAA